AUUGAACGCUGGCGGCAUGCUUUACACAUGCAAGUCGAACGGUAACAGGUUAAGCUGACGAGUGGCGAACGGGUGAGUAAUACAUCGGAACGUACCCAGAAGUGGGGGAUAACGUAGCGAAAGUUACGCUAAUACCGCAUACGUUCUACGGAAGAAAGUGGGGGACCUUCGGGCCUCAUGCUUUUGGAGCGGCCGAUGUCUGAUUAGCUAGUUGGUGAGGUAAAGGCUCACCAAGGCGACGAUCAGUAGCUGGUCUGAGAGGACGACCAGCCACACUGGGACUGAGACACGGCCCAGACUCCUACGGGAGGCAGCAGUGGGGAAUUUUGGACAAUGGGGGCAACCCUGAUCCAGCAAUGCCGCGUGAGUGAAGAAGGCCUUCGGGUUGUAAAGCUCUUUUGUCAGGGAAGAAACGGUUUUGGCUAAUAUCCAGAGCUAAUGACGGUACCUGAAGAAUAAGCACCGGCUAACUACGUGCCAGCCGCCGCCGUAAAAC
rnacentral:rRNA from 1 species